GGUUGAUCCUGCCGGACCUGACUGCUAUCGGAUUGAUACUAAGCCAUGNGAGUCAUUGUAGCAAUACNAGGCAUACGGCUCAGUAACGCGUAGUCAACCUAACCUAUGGACGGGAAUAACCUCGGGAAACUGAGAAUAAUGCCCGAUAGAACACUAUACCUGGAAUGGUUUGUGUUCCAAAUGAUUUAUCGCCAUAGGAUGGGACUGCGGCCUAUCAGUUUGUUGGUGAGGUAAUGGCCCCCCAAGACUAUUACAGGUACGGGCUCUGAGAGGAGUAGCCCGGAGAUGGGUACUGAGACACGGACCCAGGCCCUAUGGGGCGCAGCAGGCGAGAAAACUUUGCAAUGUGCGAAAGCACGACAAGGUUAAUCCGAGUGAUUUGUGCUAAACGAAUCUUUUGUUAGUCCUAGAAACACUAACGAAUAAGGGGUGGGCAAGUUCUGGUGUCAGCCGCCGCGGUAAAACCAGCACCUCAAGUGGUCAGGAUGAUUAUUGGGCCUAAAGCAUCCGUAGCCGGCUCUGUAAGUUUUCGGUUAAAUCUGUACGCUUAACGUACAGGCUGCCGGGAAUACUGCAGAGCUAGGGAGUGGGAGAGGUAGACGGUACUCGGUAGGAAGUGGUAAAAUGCUUUGAUCUAUCGAUGACCACCUGUGGCGAAGGCGGUCUACCAGAACACGUCCGACGGUGAGGGAUGAAAGCUGGGGAAGCAAACCGGAUUAGAUACCCGGGUAGUCCCAGCUGUAAACUAUGCAAACUCAGUGAUGCAUUGGCUUGUGGCCAAUGCAGUGCUGCAGGGAAGCCGUUAAGUUUGCCGCCUGGGAAGUACGUACGCAAGUAUGAAACUUAAAGGAAUUGGCGGGGGAGCACCACAAGGGGUGAAGCCUGCGUUCAAUUGGAUUCAACGCCGGG
rnacentral:rRNA from 1 species